rnacentral:misc_RNA from 1 species
CUCUGCAUCCUGCCAUCACGCACGCGCACUCUGCCGGACUCUCUCCACAUCUCCUCGUAUCGAUUUCUUUCGCAUCGGGUGCUCAGAUAAGCAAUGGGGAGGCGUCGUAAAAGCGGGGGCAGGGGCAACGGCAGCGCCGCCGUAAGCGACAGCCCGCCGGAUAGCGAGACACCGACGCCGACCCCACCGCCAAGGAUUAGCGGCGCUGAAGGGAGGAAUACAACGCGUGCCGUGGCAGAGGCGGAAGCCAAGUCAGCAGAGCCGGUCACAAUCCAGCCCUCUGUAGAGCCGGCGCAGCAGCCAUUAACCGCGGAGGUGGCUACAGCGGAGGCGCCGAACACCUCUGACGCCGUGGCCGCGCUCAACGCGUAUGCCUACCAGAGCUCAGUCAACGAGACCGCCGCCGGUGGCAUUGUGGUCGAGGACGACGACGCUGACGACAAGGAGGCGGCACCGAUGGCGAACUCCUUAGCCGCCCCGGCUUCGCCUCCUCGUGUGUCUGGCAAGAGAGUGGUCUUCAUCACAUCGGCCGCGAGCGCCAGCUCUUCGAAUCACGAGGAGAAGCUGCGCGAGGCUCGAUGUGUGGAGUCGGCGUGCACCGACUGCACCCUCAUGUAAGGGACUCACGCGAUGACGCACGGACAUUCAUCUCUAUUCGGUGGUUUUCAUGGGUGCUCUAGCCGUUCGCUGUGCACUGCGAGGGAGUCGGCGUGGAGGACGUGAUCUCUCCCAGCAGCGCCGGCUCCGUUUGACACGCGGGCAUCUCCCUGAAAGACUACUGAUGUAGAGUGUGCCGUUCUCGGUAUCUCCAGCUGUGCCGCUGCCCCCCACCCCCUCCCCCUCGUGUGGUGUCGUGUGUCUCACCUCCCUUCUUGACGGUUCCUCCCCGCCUGUGUUUUCCUGUCCGUCUUCCGCAGCGACGCUGUCCCAG